rnacentral:rRNA from 1 species
AUUGAACGCUGGCGGCAGGCUUAACACAUGCAAGUCGAGCGGAGAGAGGUAGCUUGCUACUGAUCUUAGCGGCGGACGGGUGAGUAAUGCUUAGGAAUCUGCCUAUUAGUGGGGGACAACAUUUCGAAAGGAAUGCUAAUACCGCAUACGUCCUACGGGAGAAAGCAGGGGAUCUUCGGACCUUGCGCUAAUAGAUGAGCCUAAGUCGGAUUAGCUAGUUGGUGGGGUAAAGGCCUACCAAGGCGACGAUCUGUAGCGGGUCUGAGAGGAUGAUCCGCCACACGGGGACUGAGACACGGCCCAGAAUCCUACGGGAGGCAGCAGUGGGGAAUAUUGGACAAUGGGCGCAAGCCUGAUCCAGCCAUGCCGCGUGUGUGAAGAAGGCCUUAUGAUUGUAAAGCACUUUAAGCGAGGAGGAGGCUACUUUAGAUAAUACCUAGAGAUAGUGGACGUUACUCGCAGAAUAAGCACCGGCUAACUCUGUGCCAGCAGCCGCGGUAAUAC